rnacentral:lncRNA from 1 species
AAGAAUGAAUCAAUCAAAGAGAAAAAUUUAUCCAUUCACCUACUGAUGGACAUCUUGGUUGCUUUCAAGUUCUGGUAAUUAUGAAUAAAGCUGCUAUAAACAUCUCUAUGCAAGUUUUUGUGGGGGUAUAUGUUUAAAACUCCUCUGGAUAAAUACCAAAGAGUCCAGUUGCUGAAUUGUGUGGUAAGAGUUUGUCUGUUUUUUAAAGAAACUGCAAAACUGUUUACCAAGGUUGUGGUACCAUUUUGCAUUCCUACCAGCAGUGAGUGAGUGUUGCUACUGCCCCACAUUCUUACCAGCAUUUACUGGAGUCAAUGUUCUGG